AUGGCCGUGCGCUACCCCAUGGCCGUGGGCCUCAACCUUGGUCACAAGGUGACCAAGAACGUGAGCAAGCCGAGGCACAGCCGCUGCCACGGGCGCCUGACCAAGCUCACCAAGUUCGUGCGGAACGUGAUCCAGGAGGUGUGGGGGUUUGCCCUCUACGAGCGGCGCGCCAUGGAGCUGCCCAAGGUCUCCAAGGACAAGUGGGCGCUCAAGUUCAUCCAGAAGGGGGUGGGGACGCACAUCCGCGCCAAGAGAAAGCUCAAGAAGCUGAGCAACGUGCUGGCUGCCACGACGAAGGCAGAGGCCAAGAGGGACUCAGCCUCCCGGCCCCAUUAA